rnacentral:rRNA from 1 species
UACGUAGGUGGCAAGCGUUGUCCGGAUUUACUGGGCGUAAAGGGAGCGUAGGCGGAUGUUUAAGUGGGAUGUGAAAUACUCGGGCUCAACUUGAGUGCUGCAUUCCAAACUGGAUAUCUAGAGUGCAGGAGAGGAAAGGAGAAUUCCUAGUGUAGCGGUGAAAUGCGUAGAGAUUAGGAAGAACACCAGUGGCGAAGGCGAUUCUCUGGACUGUAACUGACGCUGAGGAGCGAAAGCAUGGGUAGCGAACAGGAUUA